rnacentral:rRNA from 1 species
CCUACGGGAGGCAGCAGUGGGGAAUAUUGGACAAUGGGGGGAACCCUGAUCCAGCCAUGCCGCGUGUGUGAAGAAGGCCCUCGGGUUGUAAAGCACUUUCAGUGAGGAAGAACGCCUGGUGGUUAAUACCCAUCAGGAAAGACAUCACUCACAGAAGAAGCACCGGCUAACUCCGUGCCAGCAGCCGCGGUAAUACGGAGGGUGCGAGCGUUAAUCGGAAUUACUGGGCGUAAAGCGCGCGUAGGUGGCUUGAUAAGCCGGUUGUGAAAGCCCCGGGCUCAACCUGGGAACGGCAUCCGGAACUGUCGAGCUAGAGUGCAGGAGAGGAAGGUAGAAUUCCCGGUGUAGCGGUGAAAUGCGUAGAGAUCGGGAGGAAUACCAGUGGCGAAGGCGGCCUUCUGGACUGACACUGACACUGAGGUGCGAAAGCGUGGGUAGCAAACAGGAUUAGAUACCCCUGUAGUC